UCUAACGACUUUUCGGGCUUUUCCAUUAUUUCUUCCAGUUUUUUUUAUUUUAAUUUACAAUUGUAGCCUUUAUUUCCAGUAUUUUUAACUUCGUUACCUAAACAAAUAACAUAUAUACUGUAGUGUUUAAAAGAAAAUUUUAUUCAUAAUUUUCAAUAUAUUUGCGGAGAAAAAUAGUCGAUUGUCAUCGUGGUGAAGGUUCUUCUUGACUCAAAAAACUAUGCGACGAUACUUACAUUACUUAUAAAAUCCACAUGUUGAGAAGUUUCACUAUGAAGGAAGAUGGAAUUAAUUAUAAAUGGAUUUAAUAAAUAAGCACAAUAUGUGAGUCUACUUAAUGGAAUCCAUCCUCUAAAGGAGAGAAUUUUGUUGACAAUUCCUGAAAAAAUCAAAAAUGAUCGUUUAAAUUAGAAAACAAUCGUUUUCUGAAAUUUAGCAAUGAGCAACCAGGAAAGACCAACGGCCCAAAUUGUUCUACUGAAUCCAACGUAAAAUGCUGCCGAGAAUAUGGAAAUGUACCUCUUCCAAAUUCCAAAAAGUACAAAAAUAUUACAAGAACUUCCCAGUAGCCA